AGAGGGGGCCCGGGAGGUAUAGGGGUCCCAUAAGACCAUAAUUCAUAUACAAUUUCAAUAAAUAUUGGUAAAAUAGGUCAACCCCUAGACAUUUUGAUGGCCGGCAGAUUUUUACCCCAAAAUUGUCUGAAAUUGAGGAAAGUCACCGGAAAAUGUGAGAAUGCUUAACUGGGGUAAAGAGCCCAAAAAUCUGAUAACUGCCAACUUUUACACAAGUCUGUCCCAUUGCAUGCUGGGUAUUGUAGUCUUACAAUAAACUUGGCAGCUGGCAAAUUGUUGAACAAAAACAACAUUACCCAACAUGCAUUGGGAGACACACACUUGGCACAUUAGGGCACGAAAAAACGUUGUUUUCAAAGCACAGACCAGGAAAGUGUGACUAUAGAAACACGGUGUUUGGAAUGUAGGGACAAUUGACAACAAUGCAGGUGUUACAAUAACGAAGGACACUCUUUGGAAUUCAGUUCAGCAGAACUACAACUCCCGACAGUCUCUGCCAUUAGGGCUGGAGAUCAAAGAGCCCAGGGCAGGAAGGGUGGGGUUGUUGUCUGAACAAGAGAAUAACUGCGAGUGGAAGAGCGGCCUCACAUUCCUGCCUCAGGUAAGUAGAACAGGACUAAUGGGCAGGCUCUUGCCACUGAGGAGAAUGGAAUUCCUCGCACAGAGACACUCCCCGCAUCACGUGACCGCUCCGCUCUCCAGCAGGAAUCGGCCCCUGGGAUAAUCACGUGAUCCAGUGACGUCAGGUUGGGAGAGACAGGAAGUGGGAUGCAGAGGGUAGCGCCGGAGCCAGAGACAGAUUUGAGUAGCCGGACACCGACCCACUAAACAUGUGGAAAUCCGCCGCCGGGCUCUCUCUCUCCAUCUCCACAGAUGAGACAGACGACUGGGAGACAGAUCCAGAUUUUGUGGCAAUGGGUCUGGAAUACAAAGACUGGAUUCCGCCACGGUUAGGACAUAUUCCUGCUAACGAUGUCUAUUGUUUACCCACACUACUUCUACCGAUGAUUAUGCAACGUUGGAACGCGACGUGAUUUUACAUUUCCAGACCCGGGAGAGAUCUCACUACAAAAAAAAUCAAACGAACUGUUCAGACACUUUGAGAUAUUUUAAUACAGAGUUUUUAAUUAGCGAUUAAAAUUCUAGUUAGGGUAAAGAUUUUAGAGUCUACUGUUUGUUAUAUUUCUGUAACUUCAUUUUUCCAUGUACCAUUUGACUCCCCUGUAUCCGUGAUCCACUGUCUCAUAUGUGGGUUUUGUUUUUUUUUUUUUUUGUUUUUUUUUUUUUUUAAAGAAAAAUUCUUAACCCUUCCCCCUUUCGAACGUACUGUAUCUCCACCUCGCCGAGUCCCUGCCGGUCAUCACAUUGCUUUGUAAAUGAUUCUAGUGUUGUAAUUUUUGGAUUUAAUAUUGAACCCAAGCAACAUUAAUUAUAUUUGUACAGUCUUAUUAGACAGAGAAAUGUUAUAUUGUAAUUGUAAAGGUAUUACCUGGUACACAGAUCCCCAGCUUUUUAACUCCAGUCUAAGGAUUCAUUUAUAUGAGGCGGAAGCCAGACAAUCUCUUCUUUUAAGGCUCAUUGGGUUUAUGGCACACGGAGCUGCUUUUGUCGGCUGUAGUCCGGGGCUUUUAUAUGCUGAAGCAAGGUCACCACUAGGGGGCGCUAUAAACAGAGCGUUUGCUAUGGCAAGUCUUAAAGGAGACAUAUCUAAAAAAACAACCCGCGGGUUACCUGAAAAAAAGCGGGUAACCUGUGGGUUGUGGGUAGAAGUUUCGGGUGCGGGUAUAGACGCGGUUCUGCGGGGUCGCUGGUCUUCUCAAUAGCAGGUUUUACUUGCGGAUCACGCUUACUUCCGACUUGGCGGUUCUGGUUUACAGUGACGGCACUUCCUGAUCCUUGAUGGUCAGCGGAUCGGGUUGCGGAUAUGGUACUUACGGGUCCAAGCGGGUAAGAAUGUGGGUUGCAGGCCUGGACUGGCAAUCUGUGGGUUCUGGCAAAUGCCAGAGGGGCUGCUAUAAGGUGCCAUAGAAAGUCACUAUUUAGUGGGCUGGUGGGGCUGUUUGGGCCUCUGUGUACCUGAAAUGCCAGGGCUUAUUUUAAUUCUCAGUCCGGACCUGGUGGAUUCCGGGUCCCAAGUCCAAGCGGGUUUAAUAAAUUGGUUCUGUGAAGGACUCUAGCAGGACCUGAUAGGGAACUGAAGCCUGUCUUUGUUUGUGUGACUGCAGGGCUGUGAUUGGCUAUCCCCCCUCCUACUGUGCUUCUGUCAGGGACCGUUAGGACCAGCCCACCCCUCAUUUAAAACACCGACAGGGACCAGUGAACAUCUAUAGGGAGCUCCAAUAAAGGGGCCAUUUUUAAGGAUAAUUAUAGUUUUUAGCCCCAAGUAAAACAAACACCAUAUAUUAUACAUAAUUACAUGUUUAUCUUUUAUAUCUCUUUUAACAGGUGGUGUCCAAAACACCCCACACGCCGUAGACCUAAAGCUCUGGUGCGGGUCCACUUAAUUUGCAUUUCACAUCUGGAGGAUAGUGGGGUGAACUGGUGUGACAAAGGGCUUAUGUUAAGGGAACACGGGGAGAUUAGUCGCCCCCCCAACAUCUUCAUCAGUUUCUCCAAGGAUUCCUAGUACCCCAGGGGGCCUGAGCGUAUACAGUAUGGUAAAGUCUUAAUUGCUGUACUGAGCCAACCCCCCGGCUAAGGGCAGUGCAAGGGAACCCUGGGAAAACCGAAGAUCAUUUUGGAUAAGGGCCCGACCCCAUCCCAACUAGUCUUGUCUCCAGCAUCCGACACAAGUGCAAAACUAUUGGGGUAGCAGGUGUUUUUAGGACACAUUGGGGCUCAUUUAUAAAAACUGAGCAAAUUUGCAGCUGGGCAGUAACCCAUAGCAACCAAUCAGUGAUUAGCUUUUUUCAGCUAGCUGCAGGUUGACCACUGGAAGCAAUCAUCUGAUUGGUUGCCAUGGGUUACUGCCCAAGUGCAGGUGCCCUUUGCGUUCUAAAUGUAGAUGUAUUCAAUUUCCUGUAAAUUAGGGUUUCAGCGUUGGGGCCCCUGUGUUCUUGUUCUCUCCGUGACAUUUUGGGUUGCCACUUGGCCAGUGUUUUACCAGCCUGGCCGGUAAAAAUGAUGGUUGAUCCCAAUGUUAUUAAUAGGGAAAAAAGAUAAAUAUAUAGGAAGGCCGGUAUUUUUUUCCAGAAAAGGUGGCAACCCGAAUGACAAUGAUGGUGGUCUGUUUUUGGUUUAUGGUCUUUACUCUGUAUGUGCCCCCUGCUCUCAGGGAUGGGAUUGGUUCACGGCUGUGAUUGGCUAGAGUAGCAAUGUAAACAGUGUCUCCAGCCUAUCCCAGGCUUGAAUGAAGAACAAACCACUCUCUAUUGGGAAAGUCAUGUGACUUUGGGGCCCCAUGGGGGGGGUUUAUGUGGUACCGUGUCUAUGAGUCUCCGGCCUUUGCAGUAGGUUCGGCGCUUUUUUAAAAGGACCAAUUGGCAGCUCAUCGCUCAGCUGUUCUACAAUGUCACCGACACUUCCCGAUUUUACAAAAGGCCUUUCGACUUUUUCCUUUCGCUCUUCUUUUCCCUCUGCUCGUUCAUUUUUUGUACUUGCUAAACCAAUCAGGACUCCGCGAGAUCACGGAAAGGUGAAAGUAGAAAAGGAACGUCGGUGAGAAAUAGAAAUCAAUCUGUUCGGAUCAGGAUAUAUUAUUUAUUACCAGCCUCGUCUCGUUGUGUUGAAACUUUUUAUUUGUCGUGUAUAAAUUGGAUUCAUUGUUACAUUUUCUAAUCCGGUUUUAUUUUAUUUCUUUGUGUAAUUGCUGAUUAUGUAACUAAGUAUGUACAGUCUAUAUGUACCUUUUGAACUAUUUUUAUCACAGUAUUAUUUAUUGCUUUCUUUCAAUAAAAUACUGAAGCAUUUUCCACUGCCAAUAAAAAAGAUAAUUAAACGCAAAUGUGAUUUAAA